rnacentral:rRNA from 1 species
UACAGAGGUCUCAAGCGUUGUUCGGAUUCAUUGGGCGUAAAGAGCUCGUAGGCGGUUCAGUAAGUCGGGUGUGAAACCCCCAGGCUCAACCUGGGGACGCCACCCGAUACUGCUGUGACUAGAGUCCAGUAGGGGAGUGUGGAAUUCCCGGUGUAGCGGUGAAAUGCGCAGAUAUCGGGAGGAACACCAGCGGCGAAGGCGGCACUCUGGGCUGGAACUGACGCUGAGGAGCGAAAGCGUGGGGAGCGAACAGG